rnacentral:rRNA from 1 species
GUGAGGAAUAUUGGGCAAUGGACGAAAGCCUGACCCAGCCACGCCGCGUGAGUGAUGAAGGCCUUAGGGUUGUAAAGCUCUUUCAGCUGGGAAGAUAAUGACUGUACCAGCAGAAGAAGCCCCGGCUAACUCCGUGCCAGCAGCCGCGGUAAUACGGAGGGGGCUAGCGUUGUUCGGAAUUACUGGGCGUAAAGCGCGCGUAGGUGGUUUUGUAAGUUGGAGGUGAAAUCCCCGGGCUCAACCUGGGAACUGCCUCCAAAACUGCAUGACUAGAGUACGGUAGAGGGUAGUGGAAUUUCCUGUGUAGCGGUGAAAUGCGUAGAUAUAGGAAGGAACACCAGUGGCGAAGGUGACUACCUGGACUGAUACUGACACUGAGGUGCGAAAGCGUGGGGAGCAAACAGGAUUAGAUACCCUUGUAGUCC